rnacentral:rRNA from 1 species
AUGCAAGUCGAACGGCAGCGCGGGGCAACCUGGCGGCGAGUGGCGAACGGGUGAGUAAUAUAUCGGAACGUACCCWRGAGUGGGGGAUAACGUAGCGAAAGUUACGCUAAUACCGCAUACGAUCUAAGGAUGAAAGYRGGGGAUCGCAAGRCCUYRUGCUCCUGGAGCGGCCGAUAUCUGAUUAGCUAGUUGGUAGGGUAAAGGCCUACCAAGGCWWCGAUCAGUAGCUGGUCUGAGAGGACGACCAGCCACACUGGAACUGAGACACGGUCCAGACUCCUACGGGAGGCAGCAGUGGGGAAUUUUGGACAAUGGGCGCAAGCCUGAUCCAGCAAUGCCGCGUGAGUGAAGAAGGCCUUCGGGUUGUAAAGCUCUUUUGUCAGGGAAGAAACGGUGDGGGCUAAUAUCCUSYRCUAAUGACGGUACCUGAAGAAUAAGCACCGGCUAACUACGUGCCAGCAGCCGCGGUAAUACGUAGGGUGCAAGCGUUAAUCGGAAUUACUGGGCGUAAAGCGUGCGCAGGCGGUUUUGUAAGUCUGUCGUGAAAKCCCCGGGCUCAACCUGGGAAUKGCGAUGRAGACUGCAAGGCUUGAAUCUGGCAGAGGGGGGUAGAAUUCCACGUGUAGCAGUGAAAUGCGUAGAGAUGUGGAGGAACACCGAUGGCGAAGGCA